rnacentral:rRNA from 1 species
AGAGUUUGAUCCUGGCUCAGAUUGAACGCUGGCGGCAUGCCUUACACAUGCAAGUCGAACGGCAGCACGGGAGCAAUCCUGGUGGCGAGUGGCGAACGGGUGAGUAAUAUAUCGGAACGUGCCCAGUCGUGGGGGAUAACGCAGCGAAAGCUGUGCUAAUACCGCAUACGAUCUACGGAUGAAAGCGGGGGAUCGCAAGACCUCGCGCGAUUGGAGCGGCCGAUAUCAGAUUAGCUAGUUGGCGGGGUAAAAGCCCACCAAGGCGACGAUCUGUAGCUGGUCUGAGAGGACGACCAGCCACACUGGAACUGAGACACGGUCCAGACUCCUACGGGAGGCAGCAGUGGGGAAUUUUGGACAAUGGGCGCAAGCCUGAUCCAGCAAUGCCGCGUGCAGGAUGAAGGCCUUCGGGUUGUAAACUGCUUUUGUACGGAGCGAAACGGCUUCUUCUAAUACAAGGAGCUAAUGACGGUACCGUAAGAAUAAG